UGCAAGUCGAACGCGUUGGCCCAAUUGAUUGAUGGUGCUUGCACCUGAUUGAUUUUGGUCGCCAACGAGUGGCGGACGGGUGAGUAACACGUAGGUAACCUGCCCAGAAGCGGGGGACAACAUUUGGAAACAGAUGCUAAUACCGCAUAACAGCGUUGUUCGCAUGAACAACGCUUAAAAGAUGGCUUCUCGCUAUCACUUCUGGAUGGACCUGCGGUGCAUUAGCUUGUUGGUGGGGUAACGGCCUACCAAGGCGAUGAUGCAUAGCCGAGUUGAGAGACUGAUCGGCCACAAUGGGACUGAGACACGGCCCAUACUCCUACGGGAGGCAGCAGUAGGGAAUCUUCCACAAUGGGCGCAAGCCUGAUGGAGCAACACCGCGUGAGUGAAGAAGGGUUUCGGCUCGUAAAGCUCUGUUGUUAAAGAAGAACACGUAUGAGAGUAACUGUUCAUACGUUGACGGUAUUUAACCAGAAAGUCACGGCUAACUACGUGCCAGCAGCCGCGGUAAUACGUAGGUGGCAAGCGUUAUCCGGAUUUAUUGGGCGUAAAGAGAGUGCAGGCGGUUUUCUAAGUCUGAUGUGAAAGCCUUUCGGCUUAACCGGAGAAGUGCAUCGGAAACUGGAUAACUUGAGUGCAGAAGAGGGUAGUGGAACUCCAUGUGUAGCGGUGGAAUGCGUAGAUAUAUGGAAGAACACCAGUGGCGAAGGCGGCUACCUGGUCUGCAACUGACGCUGAGACUCGAAAGCAUGGGUAGCGAACAGGAUUAGAUACCCUGGUAGUCCAUGCCGUAAACGAUGAGUGCUAGGUGUUGGAGGGUUUCCGCCCUUCAGUGCCGGAGCUAACGCAUUAAGCACUCCGCCUGGGGAGUACGACCGCAAGGUUGAAACUCAAAGGAAUUGACGGGGGCCCGCACAAGCGGUGGAGCAUGUGGUUUAAUUCGAAGCUACGCGAAGAACCUUACCAGGUCUUGACAUCUUGCGCCAACCCUAGAGAUAGGGCGUUUCCUUCGGGAACGCAAUGACAGGUGGUGCAUGGUCGUCGUCAGCUCGUGUCGUGAGAUGUUGGGUUAAGUCCCGCAACGAGCGCAACCCUUGUUACUAGUUGCCAGCAUUAAGUUGGGCACUCUAGUGAGACUGCCGGUGACAAACCGGAGGAAGGUGGGGACGACGUCAGAUCAUCAUGCCCCUUAUGACCUGGGCUACACACGUGCUACAAUGGACGGUACAACGAGUCGCGAACUCGCGAGGGCAAGCAAAUCUCUUAAAACCGUUCUCAGUUCGGACUGCAGGCUGCAACUCGCCUGCACGAAGUCGGAAUCGCUAGUAAUCGCGGAUCAGCAUGCCGCGGUGAAUACGUUCCCGGGCCUUGUACACACCGCCCGUCACACCAUGAGAGUUUGUAACACCCAAAGUCGGUGGGGUAACCUUUUAGGAGCCAGCCGCCU
rnacentral:rRNA from 1 species